GUCGAGAAUAAUUCACAAUGGAUGAAAGUCUGAUGGUGCAACGCCGCGUGGAGGAUGAAGGUCUUCGGAUUGUAAACUCCUGUCAUCGGGGAGUAAGACCUGGCGGUAAAUAGCCGACAGGGUUGAUAGUACCCGAAGAGGAAGGGACGGCUAACUUCGUGCCAGCAGCCGCGGUAAUACGAAGGUCCCAAGCGUUGUUCGGAAUCACUGGGCGUAAAGGGAGCGUAGGCGGCGUGGUAAGUCAGAUGUGAAAUCCCGGGGCUCAACCCCGGAACUGCAUCCGAUACUGCCAUGCUUGAGGGUUGGAGAGGUGACUGGAAUUCUCGGUGUAGCAGUGAAAUGCGUGGAUAUCGAGAGGAACACUCGUGGCGAAGGCGAGUCACUGGACAACAUCUGACGCUGAGGCUCGAAGGCCAGGGGAGCAAAAGGGAUUAGAUACCCGUGUAGUCC
rnacentral:rRNA from 1 species